GACGACGCGGGUGGGGAGAGACUGUGCACCUACACGUGUCACUUCACAAAGGCCUCCAGGGGCUUAUGAUCAGGCAAAGGAGACACCAGGAAAGAGGAGCAGAGUGGCUAGGGCAGUGCACUGCAGAUGCAUGGACGAAAGCUCGCAGCGACACAGGCAUGGGGUGUCUAAUCAGGGAUGAGUGUGAGCAGCAGAAUGAGGAGCAUGCUUUCCCAGAGGAAGAGAGGAAGCCACUGGAGAGAUGAAGGAUGCCAUGGACAGGAGGUGGUGUCUCUGGAGCCGCCGAGCAGCAGCCUCAUUGCUCAGAAGAUGAAGAUGCUGACAAAGACCCAGACAGGAAAAAAGGAAGAAAAAGCAUCCUGAUUGUUCCAUUAGCAAAGCCACAGUCCCGGAGAGCAAGGGGAGGGACACAGCAGGCAGCCGCACCCAUGGGAUGCAUCUGCAGCUUGUGAGCAAUGCAUGAGAGAUGAAUCACACAGCAGCAAUGCCUUCAGCUUCCGUGUGCUAUGGCUCACUCAGCACCAGCUCUGCAGGCUGCCUAAGCCAGAAGUCAGUCUCUGCCUUUAGACUUGCUCACUUCUUUUAGGAACGGAGAUAUCCUCUGAUCCCUUGUCCUACAACCUCGAUUAAUAUCUUUGCAACAGCCAUCUGCCAAACUCAAGAAGACCCUGGAACAACCUAAUUGGAAAAGUUUCCCUCUUAUCCCUUGGAAAACUAUAGAAAAGCAGUGUCACACAAAUGUUUAAUUUCUGAUUUCUACAAUUUCAGAUACCAGAGUUUAUCUGUUACCAUGACAACUAAGAGCUUUAUAAAUGUUUUCUAGCCUCUGCUAUUUUCUGGAACUUAUCUACCUUUCAGUAUUUGCUUAAUAAUUUUGAGCUGACACUAGCAACAUAAUUGUGUCUGGAUUGUGUAUGUGUAUGUCUUGUGUGUGUUGGCAGGGGGUGGGUAUAACCUAUUGUCAGUGUUUUUCAAUGUGAGCAAAUUUUAAUAAACUUUUAUAUUUAAUGUGAA
rnacentral:lncRNA from 1 species